UACGAAUAUUAAUUUUUUUCAAUGUUAUUUACCACGUUUACCAUUUCUAAAGAUUAUAUUAUAUUAUCGUAAAUUCUGCGUGUCUUCUACGUGUUUUAAUGGGCGCGCGCGCUGAACUGGAGCGGAGGAGGUCACCAUGGAAACGGGGCGGCAGCUCAACUGUCAAGCAGCUGAACGCUGUCUCAUGGUUGUUUUCGCUAAUUUCAGAGACUGAAAAUCAUCGAUAAACCACAAGAGUUUAGCUCCAACCCUAAUUAAGCAGACCUGAGCAGCUGAUCAAGGAUCACCAGAAACUCUGCAGAACGUUGGUUCUCCAGCUCAGGACUGGACACCGGUGUUGUAAGUCAUCAGUCUAGAAGAAAUCCUGCCUCUUUGAAUGGUCAUGUUCAGAACAUGUUGCAGGAGAUCUCACAUUGUCUCUCAAGGUCCACUUCCAUGCAGAGUUACAUGCAGAUUAGUCCAGCACACCUGAACACAUUAAUCAAGGUCUUCAGUUUUACUAAGUAUAAAGUCACAAACAGGUGAGUGUGAUCAGAUGUGGACCUAAACUCUGGCUGUGUAUCACUCAGGUCCCUUGCUCAGUAGUCAGUGGUUAAGGGCUGUUUCAAUCACAAUUUUUUUUUUACAGUGCAACGAAAUGUUUGCUGCCUAAAAAGCUGUGAAAACCAGGAAACAUCGAUGCUCACUAUGUUCCCUUAUAGGCAGUUCUGAAGCUCACAACUUAAAGAGAUAAUUCGCUACAAAAUUACACGUAAUAGAUUUUAAAACACAAACCAAUAUUAUAUUUCA